rnacentral:rRNA from 1 species
UACGGGGGGAGCAAGCGUUGUUCGGAUUUACUGGGCGUAAAGGGCGCGUAGGCGGCCUCUGCAAGUCGACUGUGAAAUCUCCGGGCUUAACCCGGAAAGGUCAGCCGAUACUGCAGGGCUAGAGUGCAGAAGGGGCAACUGGAAUUCUCGGUGUAGCGGUGAAAUGCGUAGAUAUCGAGAGGAACACCUGCGGCGAAGGCGGCCAUCUGGGACAACACUGACGCUGAAGCACGAAAGCGUGGGGAGCAAACAGG